rnacentral:piRNA from 1 species
UAUCAGAGAUGAAGUGAGGUGAAGGC